AGGACGCGACUUGAGGAAACGAAGCUGCGCGUGCGCGGUUUGCCCUCACGCUAGGGAUCGCAAUGCGCGUGCGUGCCAGCCCUCGCCUGAUUGGAUCAAAGCUUUAGCUUUGAACGACCCGAAAGUGCGUCGCACAGUUUUGACGUAGAGAAGCCGAGCCAAAGAUGGCGGCCUCCGGGAAGCGGCCGGAGCAUCGUGGUCCUCCUGAAUUGUUCUAUGAUGAGGUCGAAGCUCGGAAAUACACCCACAACUCUCGCAUGAUGGAGAUCCAGUCGCAGAUGUCCGAACGGGCUGUGGAGCUGCUGGGCCUCCCAGAGGAUCGGCCGUGUUUCUUGUUGGACGUGGGAUGUGGCUCCGGUUUGAGUGGCGAUUACAUCACUGAGGAAGGUCACUUUUGGGUUGGCAUGGACAUCAGCCCUGCCAUGCUGGAUGUGGCUGUGGAGAGAGAAGUGGAAGGAGACUUGAUGCUUGCAGACAUGGGGCAAGGGGUCCCCUUCCGGCCUGGGACCUUUGACGGCUGUAUCAGUAUUUCUGCUGUGCAGUGGCUCUGUAACGCCGACAAGAAGACCCACAGCCCUCCUAAGAGACUCUACCGGUUCUUUUCCACCCUUUAUACAGCAUUGGCUCGAGGGGCCCGUGCCGUGCUCCAGCUCUACCCCGAAAACUCUCAACAGCUGGAGCUCAUCACUGCUCAAGCCAUGAAGGCAGGCUUCACCGGUGGGAUGGUGGUGGACUACCCGAACAGUGCCAAAGCCAAGAAGUUCUUCCUCUGCCUCUUUGUCGGCACAAGUGACGUGUUACCAAAGGGACUUGGAGCAGAAUGCAGCGUGGAAGAGACCACACAGGCCAAGUUCACCCAGGAAAGGACGCGCUUCCGAAACGCCAAAGGGAAGUCGGUGAAGAAGGGCCGGGACUGGGUUUUGGAAAAGAAAGAGCGGAGGCGGCGGCAGGGCAAGGAAGUGCGAGCGGACACGAAAUACACAGCCCGGAAACGAAGACCCCAUUUCUGAUACUCUGCUUCGACUCAACGAUGGGACUCUGCUCAUUUUAGGAAGGCUUUUGUUCUUGGGCUGGAAAAGAACGGUUUGGGAUCGAGACUCCCUUUGGACUUGGCUCAAGAGUGUGCUAGACGCCCAACAAGUCUGCAGGACCUCGGCUCUUGGAUUCACCCUCUCCUGACAUGGCCAAUGAGGAAUUAGGUCUCCCUUCCCGACAGCCACCACAAGAGCAUCACAACACACCAUCCAAGCCAUUCAGUGCAACAAAGAGAAUCACAACACGACCUGGAAAUGCAUGCGGAGACACAGCUUUAAGCAUUUCUGGUGCAAAUCGAUCGGGAGACGUUAUAACCCUGGGUCUCCUUUCGAUAAGCUUUGACUUUACAAGUCUCGUGGCAUCUUGACAAUAUUGAUUUGGAGGCUGAGAGAGUGUGACACUGCCGUAGAGAGGAUUCUAAUCCAAAGUCCUCAUCCCACAAUCAGCACAUUUUGCCUAAAGUUGGUUUGUGCUACAGGCACGAAAGGAGUUGUUGGCUUCACACAGGACGCCGGAGAACGACGUGAACGCCUGGCCACGACUGCGACACCCAUCAGCCAUGCAAAGUCACAGGGAAGGCAUGCAGGACACGGACAUGCAGUUGGAGACAGGCAUUACCUCGUGGGGCCCGAAUGCCCGUAGGCGGGUGGCAUGGGGGGACAUAAAAAAGGGGUCAAAUCAGGGAAACCUUCAACUACGUCUCCCAACACGACUGUCCUACACAGAACCCAUCCAAGGAGCCAGGCAGCCCGACAUAAAGAUGUAAAGGUAGUGAGCCCUCUCGGAGCUGGGGAAGGGAAAAAGUAGACCUUCUCAAGGAAGGAUAAGGAAGAAAGUACGCCAUCUCUGAGCUGGGGAAGGGAAAAAGCACACCUCACAGCAGGAGAAGGUGAAAAAUAGACCUUCUUAAGAGCUGGAGAAGGGAGAAAGUAGGCCAUCUCUGAGCUGGGGAAGGCAGAAAGCACACCUCACAGCAGGGAAAGGUGAAAAAUAGACCUUCUUAGAGCUGUUGAAGGGAGAAAGUAGGCCACCUCUGAGCUGGGGAAGGGAGAAAGUAGGCCAUCUCUGAGCUGGGGAAGGGAAAAAGCAGACCUCACAACAGGGGAAGGUGAAAAAUGGACCUUCUUGGAGCUGGUGAAGGGAGAAAGUAGGCCAUCUCUGAGCUGGGGUAGGGAGAAAGCGGACCUCACAGCAGGGAAAGGUGAAAAAUAGACCUUCUUAGAGCUGGUGAAGGGAGAAAGUAGGCCAUCUCUGAGCUAGGGAAGGGAGAAAGCACACCUCACAGCAGGAGAAGGUGAGAAAUAGACCUUCUUAAGAGCUGGAGAAGGGAGAAACUAGGCCGUCUCUGAGCUGGAAAGGGAGAAUGUAGGUUUUCUCACAGCAGGGGAAGGGAAAAAGUAGGGCUUCUUAGAGCUGAGGAAAGGAGAAAGUAGGCAGUCUGAGCUGGAGAAGGGAGAAAGUAGGCCAUCUCUGAGCUGGGAAGGAAAAAUGUAAGCUUUCUCAGAGCAGGGGAAGGGAGAAAGUAGGCCUUAGAGCUGGACAAGGGAGAAAGUAGGCCGUCUCUGAGCUGGGAAGGGAAAAUGUAGGCUUUCUCACAGCAGGGGAAGAGAAAAAGUAGGGCUUCUUAGAGCUGAGGAAAGGAGAAAGUAGGCAGUCUGAGCUGGAGAAGGGUGAACGUAGGCCAUCUCGGAGCAGGGGAAGAGAAAAUGUAGGCUUUCUCAGAGCAGGGGAAGGGAGAAAAUAGGCUUU